AAGGCACUAGUAAAAGAUAUAUUACACUGCUUUGUCAAAGCAACAUUGUGGGUUAGUCCCCACGUGCCUUG
rnacentral:tRNA from 1 species